rnacentral:rRNA from 1 species
UGCGUAACGCGUGGGAAUCUGCCCUUAGGUACGGAAUAACUCAGAGAAAUUUGUGCUAAUACCGUAUGAUGUCGAAAGACCAAAGAUUUAUCGCCUAAGGAUGAGCCCGCGUAAGAUUAGCUAGUUGGUAAGGUAAAAGCUUACCAAGGCGACGAUCUUUAGCUGGUCUGAGAGGAUGAUCAGCCACACUGGGACUGAGACACGGCCCAGACUCCUACGGGAGGCAGCAGUGGGGAAUAUUGGACAAUGGGCGAAAGCCUGAUCCAGCAAUGCCGCGUGAGUGAUGAAGGCCUUAGGGUUGUAAAGCUCUUUUACCAGGGAUGAUAAUGACAGUACCUGGAGAAUAAGCUCCGGCUAACUCCGUGCCAGCAGCCGCGGUAAUACGGAGGGAGCUAGCGUUGUUCGGAAUUACUGGGCGUAAAGAGUACGUAGGCGGUUAUUCAAGUCAGAGGUGAAAGCCUGGAGCUCAACUCCAGAACUGCCUUUGAAACUAGAUAGCUAGAAUCACGGAGAGGUUAGUGGAAUUCCGAGUGUAGAGGUGAAAUUCGUAGAUAUUCGGAAGAACACCAGUGGCGAAGGCGACUAACUGGACGUGUAUUGACGCUGAGGUACGAAAGCGUGGGGGAGCAAACAGGAUUAGAUACCCUGGUAGUCCACGCCGUAAACGAUGAUAACUAGCUGUUCGGUCUCUACGAGACUGAGUGGCGCAGCUAACGCAUUAAGUUAUCCGCCUGGGGAGUACGGUCGCAAGAUUAAAACUCAAAGGAAUUGACGGGGGCCUGCACAAGCGGUGGAGCAUGUGGUUUAAUUCGAAGCAACGCGCAGAACCUUACCAGCGUUUGACAUCCUAAUCGCGGAUUCCAGAGAUGGUUUCCUUCAGU